AGAUUGAACGCUGGCGGCAUGCCUUACACAUGCAAGUCGAGCGGCAGCGCGGGGGCAACCCUGGCGGCGAGCGGCGAACGGGUGAGUAAAGCAUCGGAACGUGUCCAUUAGUGGGGGAUAGGCCGGCGAAAGCCGGGUUAAUACCGCAUACGCCCUGAGGGGGAAAGUGGGGGAUCGCAAGACCUCACGCUAUUGGAGCGGCCGAUGUCGGAUUAGCUAGUUGGUGAGGUAAAGGCUUACCAAGGCGACGAUCCGUAGCUGGUUUGAGAGAACGACCAGCCGCACUGGGACUGAGACACGGCCCAGACUCCUACGGGAGGCAGCAGUGGGGAAUAUUGGACAAUGGGCGCAAGCCUGAUCCAGCCAUGCCGCGUGAGUGAUGAAGGCCCUAGGGUUGUAAAGCUCUUUUGUGCGGGAAGAUAAUGACGGUACGCAAGAAUAAGCCCGGCUAACUUCGUGCCAGCAGCCGC
rnacentral:rRNA from 1 species